rnacentral:rRNA from 1 species
UACGGGGGGAGCAAGCGUUGUUCGGAUUUACUGGGCGUAAAGGGCGCGUAGGCGGCCACCGCAAGUCAAUUGUGAAAUCUCCGGGCUUAACUCGGAAAGGUCAACUGAUACUGCGGGGCUAGAGUGCGGAAGGGGCAACUGGAAUUCUCGGUGUAGCGGUGAAAUGCGCAGAUAUCAGGAAGAACACCCGUGGCGAAAAGCGGCUCUCUGGAACGGUACUGACGCUGAGACGCGAAAGCGUGGGGAGCGAACAGG